UUUGUAAAGCCACAGUCCAACAGAAUCCCAGAAUGUCAAGUGUACAAAACAGGAAACUUUCUGGUGAAAGUUCUGAUUUUUAAUAAUCUGAGUUUUGCCUGGCUGGUGUGGUUCAGUGGUUGGGCAUAGACCUAUGAACCAGGAGGUCACAGUUCAAUUCCUGGUCAGGGCAAAUGCCUGGGUUUUGGGCUCAAUCCCCAGUAGGGGGCAUGUGGGAGGCAGCCACUCAAUGAUUCUCUCUCAUCAUUGAUGUUUGUAUCUCUCUCCCUCUUCCUUCCUCUCUCUGAAAUCAAUACAAAUAUAUAUAUUUUUAAAAUCUGAGUUUUCUAGUUAGCUAAACAACCAAUGACCUGCCUGGGCAACAACAGUGUCCUCUGUUCCAUUCCUAAAGCGCAUCAAAAGUCUCCCAACAGUCCCCGGAGUCACCUGCCUAUCUCAUCAUUCUUAUCUUUCCAUUUCAAGGUUUCAACCAAGUCUUGCGGAUUCGGAGUAUCAAGUUCUGAGGACAUAAGGAGAUACAAUGACACCAAAGGCAGUGAGGAGCUGCUGGAGGUUUACAAGUAGUUCAGGUGAGUGGUCAGAUCUCUGUGAGACAACAGGAGCCCAGAAAAUUGAAAGGUGAGCAGCCUUCUGAAGGCCAGGACACUGGCUAAGAAACUCUUGCCUUACUCCAGGGAGAACGGAUAAGGGACCAAAGCUACUUCCAACUCUGAGGCAGUGGAACACAGAGGAGCUGACAGGUUUAAGAAUCUAGAGCAGGCAAUGGGUGCCUGAUAAAUGAUUUGAUGUUGGGGUGAAGGGAAAGGGAGAUGUUGUGGAAGACUCUAAAAAAGGUGAUUAAUUAUUUGUGAAACUAAGGGGAGAGUAAUGAAAUCAAUGGAUAUCAAGGGACUCAGGAGAAAAAAGAAGAUUAGGAAGGAAAAGAAUGGGGUAAAUUGCAGACUUGCUGAACUUGAGAUACUUGAUGGUCAAGCGAAGACAUCUACCUGGCAUUGGAGAUGAGGUCUGCAGUUCCAGAAACUGAUCUGGGACAGAUCUUAUAUUCUCCCACACAUACAAACAGAGUUUGGUUUUGGUUCCAGAGAUUGCAGAGCCAUUGUAAUUCCAAAGUGAUAGAACAAUACUCAUUCAGCAGAGGUGAUAAAAGCAUGAAAGCUAAUCUGGCAGCUGAAAAAGAUGGCCCAAUGCCAGACCGAACUGGGAUGUCUUCUGUGUUUUGUUUUGUUUGGUUUUUGAAGGUGUGUGUGUGCAAAUUUAUUUGCUUGUUGUUUGUUGUGGUCAUCUAGACAUUAGCUAACUGCCUUCUCCCAAAAAUGUACUUAAUUGCUAGGAUAUGGUAAAGACUUUCUAAUCACUGGCAUGACAUUUUGUGUUUGCCUCCAGGUGAGAUGAGUCGCCACUCGGGGGAAAGGUAGAAAUAAGGCAAUUACAAAAUUAAGUUAUGAAAUAUGUUGCUCUUCUUCUCUCUUCCAGGACUUGAUUAGAACUAGCAGGAGGCCUGUUUGAUAUCACUGUGCAGGGUGUGCACUGAACAAAACGAGGGAGUACAAUUCAUAUAUUAAACCUUGUAGAAAUGAAUAUCUUUUAGGACAAAUUUCAGGAAGAUGGAAGUAAAAUGCCUUGAGGAAGAGGCAUUUUUCUAAUUUGCACAAAGAUGCUGUCUGGACUAAUAGAAGCUUUCCUUUCCUGCUGAAGAUAGUUGGUUCACUGAGUCCUGGAGGUUGGGAAGUCCGACCAAGAUCAAGAUGCUGGCAGAUUCUGUGUCUGGUGAAGGCCCACUUGGCCAUCUUCCUGCGCCCUCACAGGGUGGAAAAGGGACUCCAAAGGAGGAAUAAGGUCCCAGGUCACCGGCAGUGGAGUGUUUGGGUUGACGACUCGUGCUCUGAUGAACCCCCGGGGAGAAGGCUGCACCCCUCCCAUCUUCCUUCUCGCCUUGGGUGUAAAUGAAGUUAAAAGGGCAUGUGACCUGGACGAGACCGCAUCCCCCCGGCGCUCACGGAAUACCGGGAACAGGUUACCACCCACAGCAGGAGCUGGGAAACUGGA